AACGAACGCUGGCGGCAUGCCUAACACAUGCAAGACGAACGAGACCUUCGGGUCUAGUGGCGCACGGGUGCGUAACGCGUGGGAACCUGCACUUAGGUUCGGAAUAACUCCCCGAAAGGGAUGCUAAUACCGGAUAAUGUCUUCGGACCAAAGAUUUAUCGCCUUUGGAUGGGCCCGCGUUGGAUUAGCUAGUUGGUAGGGUAAAAGCCUACCAAGGCGACGACCCAUAGCUGGUCUGAGAGGAUGAUCAGCCACACUGGGACUGAGACACGGCCCAGACUCCUACGGGAGGCAGCAGUGGGGAAUAUUGGACAAUGGGCGAAAGCCUGAUCCAGCAAUGCCGCGUGAGUGAUGAAGGCCUUAGGGUUGUAAAGCUCUUUUACCCGGGAUGAUAAUGACAGUACCGGGAGAAUAAGCUCCGGCUAACUCCGUG
rnacentral:rRNA from 1 species